GACGAACGCUGGCGGCGUGCUUAACACAUGCAAGUCGAACGGAAAGGCCCUGCUUUUGUGGGGUGCUCGAGUGGCGAACGGGUGAGUAACACGUGAGUAACCUGCCCUUGACUUUGGGAUAACUUCAGGAAACUGGGGCUAAUACCGGAUAGGAGCUCCUGCUUCAUGGUGGGGGUGGGAAAGUUUCGGUGGUUGGGGAUGGACUCGCGGCUUAUCAGCUUGUUGGUGGGGUAGUGGCUUACCAAGGCUUUGACGGGUAGCCGGCCUGAGAGGGUGACCGGCCACAUUGGGACUGGGAUACGGCCCAGACUCCUACGGGAGGCAGCAGUGGGGAAUAUUGCACAAUGGGCGGAAGCCUGAUGCAGCAACUCCGCGUGCGGGAUGACGGCCUUCGGGUUGUAAACCGCUUUCGCCUGUGACGAAGCGUGAGUGACGGUAAUGGGUAAAGAAGCACCGGCUAACUACGUG
rnacentral:rRNA from 1 species